UACGUAGGGUGCGAGCGUUGUCCGGAAUUAUUGGGCGUAAAGAGCUCGUAGGCGGUUUGUUGCGUCUAUCGUGAAAACCUGCGGCUUAACUGUGGGCUUGCGGUGGAUACGGGCAGCACUUUGAGGUUCGGUAGGGGAGACUGGAAUUCCUGGUGUAGCGGUGAAAUGCGCAGAUAUCAGGAGGAACACCGGUGGCGAAGGCGGGUCUCUGGGCCGAUACUGACGCUGAGGAGCGAAAGCGUGGGGAGCGAACAGG
rnacentral:rRNA from 1 species